AUUACACUGACGAGAUCAGUAGUACUUCCUGUGAGGUACUUCCGAUUUGACUCCAGAAGAAUCGUGCUUACUAUACACAAUAUCUGCCCAUCUUCAGUUCCACCGUAACUAAAUAUCCCUAAUACAAAUUGCGGUUUAUGACCUUCAGAAUAUAUGCUCCAGAACAAAUGAGGUUUCGAUCGUUACUUGCCUAACGGUAUGGGGUUAACAACAGACUGAAACCAUUGACCGUGUAAUAUUCGUAAUAUUACAAAAUAGUUAAUGAUCAUAGCAGCAUGUUUUUUGGCAUGGUUCAAGGGGUACGGUUGUUGAAGACAAGUCUAGCAGAACAGAUACGAUUUCACGUGCAGAUGGAAAAGAACGUGCGUAACCUUGACCUGUGAAAACCAUUGGAAAGAUUCCACGCCGGGUCAAGCGACAUCUAUACCAUGUAAUACUAUUCUACAUUCGAAUCCCUUGUUGGAAGGAAUAUGCGCCUCUGUGCUUUCUUUCAUGAGCUGUAUUUUAUUUACUCGUAAAGAAUUGGAACGCCAGAUACGUCUAGAGGAAUGAUCAUCAUGUGAUGAUUGGAAGACGACACAUCCGUAAAGAGAUGGGCGUCGGACGUGUUCAAGAGGCAAGCAAGCAAAGAUCCAAUGUAACAGUAUUCAUUACCUAGAAAAGUACAGGUCAGGAACUAGAGACAAGGCUACGAAAACAUUACUUUAGAUCCCUUUAAAGUUUCUUUUUAGCUAUUUAAUAAUAUUUAUAAUCAGGUGGCCUGCAUUCGAGACUUGGCACAUAACGAGGAAAAAAUGUUUUUGACCCAAUGAAUAUAUAGUUAUUAUAAACAAAUGCUACAGUAUGACAUUUGAGCCUAGUAUAGACUAUCAAUUACAGGGCGUUGUCUCUUCAAAUGUUACGUUGUUUUGCUGUAAGGUAAAGGGGUAACUAUAGUUGCCAAAAUUACUACAUAGUUUAGAGGAUAAGGAAAGACUAGACGUAAAGAAGAUGGCUAAAUAUAUUCGGUUUGCAGCCAUGGAAGAGGCAUGUCAGUCUAAACAUUCAAAACAGUAUCCGUGCUCUGACGCCCAGUGACCCGAAUACCUUAUCCACGUGUUAGAAUAUCACUUGCAUGUCGAUCGGCCUCUAUUAGUUUUACAUCAUCAUGAAUGUAUAAAUUGAUACGCGGACAAUAAAGAAAUUUAACAAAUAUC